rnacentral:rRNA from 1 species
UACAGAGGAGCCAAGCGUUGUCCGGAUUGACUGGGCGUAAAGCGCACGCGAGGCGGUUGCGCGCGUGGGGUGUGAAAUCUGGCCGCUUAACGGCCAGGCGCCAUCCCAUACGGCGCGACUGGAGGGCUGCAGAGGUCGAUGGAAUUGCCGGUGUAGUGGUGAAAUGCGUAGAGAUCGGCAGGAACACCCAGGGGGAAACCAGUCGACUGGGCAGCACCUGACGCUGAGGUGCGAGAGCGUGGGGAGCGAACCGG